rfam:Actinoplanes awajinensis subsp. mycoplanecinus strain NRRL B-16712 P067contig126.1, whole genome shotgun sequence.
CUUGACCGAACCGAGCAGCAGCGGCGUUGACCGAUCCUGCCCAUAGGUCGCCAGCAGCGCCUGCGCCUC